rnacentral:rRNA from 1 species
AUUGAACGCUGGCGGCAUGCCUUACACAUGCAAGUCGAACGGCAGCACGGGUGCUUGCACCUGGUGGCGAGUGGCGAACGGGUGAGUAAUACAUCGGAACGUACCUUAUCGUGGGGGAUAACGCAGCGAAAGCUGUGCUAAUACCGCAUACGCCCUGAGGGGGAAAGCGGGGGAUCGCAAGACCUCGCGCGAUUAGAGCGGCCGAUGCCUGAUUAGCUUGUUGGUGGGGUAAAAGCCCACCAAGGCGACGAUCAGUAGCUGGUCUGAGAGGACGAUCAGCCACACUGGGACUGAGACACGGCCCAGACUCCUAUGGGAGGCAGCAGUGGGGAAUUUUGGACAAUGGGGGCAACCCUGAUCCAGCAAUGCCGCGUGAGUGAAGAAGGCCUUCGGGUUGUAAAGCUCUUUUGUCAGGGAAGAAGCACCGGCUCUAACACAGUCCGGGAAUGACGGUACCUGAAGAAUAAGCACCGGCUAACUACGUGCCAGCCGCCGCAGUAA